UGGGGAAUAUUGGACAAUGGGCGCAAGCCUGAUCCAGCAAUGCCGCGUGGGUGAAGAAGGUCUUCGGAUUGUAAAGCCCUUUCGACAGGGACGAUGAUGACGGUACCUGUAGAAGAAGCCCCGGCUAACUUCGUGCCAGCAGCCGCGGUAAUACGAAGGGGGCUAGCGUUGCUCGGAAUUACUGGGCGUAAAGGGCGCGUAGGCGGCUCUGUUAGUCAGGCGUGAAAUUCCUGGGCUCAACCUGGGGACUGCGCUUGAUACGGCGGAGCUAGAGGAUGGAAGAGGCUCGUGGAAUUCCCAGUGUAGAGGUGAAAUUCGUAGAUAUUGGGAAGAACACCGGUGGCGAAGGCGGCGAGCUGGUCCAUUACUGACGCUGAGGCGCGACAGCGUGGGGAGCAAACAGG
rnacentral:rRNA from 1 species